rnacentral:lncRNA from 1 species
CAAUUGGAGAAACUGGUUAUUUUGCCAAGGCUUUGAUGGGAAUGGCGUGGUUCCCUUUAAGGAAGCAAAUUUGACUUAUAGAGCCAAUAAAAGCCCCUUGGGAAAACUGGCCUCAUACCUUGUCUACACAGUACUUGUACAGGGCUCCUGACCUAUGAUGGACCCUUGAAGGAAGAAAACAUCGAAGGAGGAAAGAGAAGGCUUUGACAUAAAUUGAGAGGAACAAGGAGAAAGAGAAUCUGCUUUAUUACCCAGAGGAUACAAUGAAGGAAGCUUGGGGUCAUCCUAAAUUCCUGAAUUUUCUCUAUUUUGCAAGAUCCAGCCAAUAAUCAAGUCUAGUCACUUUUUCCUCCUCGUAAGUAUCUUCUGUACCUUCG